rnacentral:rRNA from 1 species
AGCGAACGCUGGCGGCAGGCCUAACACAUGCAAGUCGAACGAAGCCUUCGGGCUUAGUGGCGGACGGGUGAGUAACACGUGGGAACGUACCUUUUGGUUCGGAACAACUCAGGGAAACUUGAGCUAAUACCGGAUGAGCCCUUAGGGGGAAAGAUUUAUCGCCGAAAGAGCGGCCCGCGUUAGAUUAGCUAGUUGGUGAGGUAAAGGCUCGCCAAGGCAACGAUCUAUAGCUGGUCUGAGAGGAUGAUCAGCCACACUGGGACUGAGACACGGCCCAGACUCCUACGGGAGGCAGCAGUGGGGAAUCUUGCGCAAUGGGCGAAAGCCUGACGCAGCCAUGCCGCGUGAAUGAUGAAGGUCUUAGGAUUGUAAAAUUCCUUUACCAGGGACGAUAAUGACGGUACCUGGAGAAAAAGCCCCGGCUAACUUCGUGCCAGCAGCCGCAGUAAAAC